AAUCUUACAAGGAAACCAGAUUAAGUCAAUUACAAAGAAAGCAUUCAUUGGUCUUGAAUCCCUUGAGCAUCUAGAUUUGAACAAUAAUGCUAUAAUGUCUAUCCAAGAAAAUGCUUUUUCUCAGACUCAUUUAAAAGAACUGUAAGUAACUUGUCUUUUUAAAAUCACCAGUUGGAUCAUUGUUCCUGCUUGUUGUGCUUAAAGUGUGAUGGGAGUGACCCAAGUUAUUUCCAAAAGCACACAGUUCAGGCAGGAAAAAAGAAAGUAUUAAUACUCAGUUAUUUAAGCGGCUAGAGGUAAUUUUAAAAUAGCCAACAUUGAAAAGCCCAGAGUGUGUGGCACCAAGACCUUCUGUUUUGCCUGUU
rnacentral:lncRNA from 1 species